GGCGGCAAGAUAGCCAUUUAGAGGAACCUGCCCUAUAAACGAUGAACCACGAAAUACCCUACUUUUAUUUGAAAUUCAGUUUGUAUACCGCUGUUGUCAGUCAGUUUCUUUAGAAAACUUUCGCGCAUGAAAAAAUCACGGACUUCAAGUAAAGGUGCAGCUUAUAUAAAAGAUAGAGGUGGGUUACAUUUAUAAGACUAAAACGGAUAAAGCUUUUGAAAUGGCUUUUGAAGGUGGAUUUAAAUGUAAAGUUUUUUUAGACUUGAUGAGAGCUCUGUCUUGUGUACACACCGCCCGUCG
rnacentral:rRNA from 1 species